AAACCGCCCAGAGGUAAACGGGUGGAUCCGCAAAGUCGGCCCGCGGAAUUCAGCGCGUGCGGUGGGUCUUCGCUCGCCCGGGUGCCGGGGAUCUUCGGACCCUGCCCUGGGCCUGCAUGGCCUCCGCCGCGUGCACUUUCCGCGGGCAGAGCGCUACGACCGGUUUCGCGGUGGCGACAAGCCCGAUCGGUAGCGUGGCACGAUCUCACGGUCGUGCUUCGGCCGGUCGAGGUGAGCCGCUGUCGGGACCGAGGAACGGCCGCACGCUUCGAGGCUGCCCGGCCUCGCGGGGGAGUUCGACUGGCAGGGACUGGGCAACCGUGCCUGCCGACCGCUCCUCCGUGUCGGAUCGGGGCCAGCCGGGCGUGUCAGGGGGUCGGUGGCGAGUCUGUCGGCAUUCCACCCGACCCGUCUUGAAACACGGACCAAGGAGUCUAACAUGCGCGCGAGUCAUUGGGCGGUACGAAACCCAAAGGCGCAGUGAAAGCAAGGGUCGCCUCGGGCUGACCCAGGUGGGAUCCCCGCCUGCUAUCGCAGCAGGAAGCGGGGCGCACCACCGGCCCGUCCCGUCUGCGUCGUCAGUGGGGCGGAGCUAGAGCGUGCACGCUGGGACCCGAAAGAUGGUGAACUAUGCCUGAGUAGAACGAAGCCAGAGGAAACUCUGGUGGAAGUCCGUAGCGAUUCUGACGUGCAAAUCGAUCGUCAAACUUGGGUAUAGGGGCGAAAGACUAAUCGAACCAUUUAGUAGCUGGUUUCCUU
rnacentral:rRNA from 1 species